rnacentral:pre_miRNA from 1 species
UCUUAUGGAUGAGCAAAUAAAGUGGUUUCUUGGGGGUGGAAACUACUCGUAGUGAAGAUGCUGUGAA